ensembl:lncRNA
CCCCUUCCUCUAAGGCAAUAAACAGCACUUUCUCUCUUUCCUCCCUCUUUUUUUUUUUUUUUUUAGGAUGAAAGCCAGCGGUUCAUCCUCCUUUCUUUCAGAGCUGUGCUCCUAAAAGCAAAACAGCACUCAGGGCUGCUGGCUACAAAGCAGAAUGCAUGCACACAACUGGUGGGACUAAAGGAGCAGCGCCAAGGAAGCAUUUAUCUUCAUGUUAUCUCCUAAUUUAAGAUCCAUUCUGGCAAAACUUCACUUCUGCUUAAGCUGCAAUGUCAAGCUGCAAAUAUUCAGCAGCUGAGGAGCCGUUUAAAAUCAUUUGCCUUGAAGGAGAGCUAAGCAAUGAUGGGAAACACAACUAUUCAUUUGGGAUAGGAGAGGGGAGCAGUGAGGUGAGAGGGAAUAAAAAAGAAAUCCAACAGAGAAAGCAAACUGAAUGGAGGGAUUAUCAGUUCCUUUGUGUGUGUUCAUCUAUUUUUGUCCUAGAAGAAACCUCCUUAACAUGGCUGUGUAUUCUUUCACACUGCUCUCCUUCCUUUGCGGGACUUACUCAAUCCAUCACAGCACCUGGUUUCUCCCUGAGUUGGAUGUGUUAUGCCUACAAGACAGGACAAACUUGGCAGCUGUUGCACUGAAAGCAGGAGGCGAGCAGCACAGCAGCAGAGCCGGAUACUUUGUAUGUCCAGGGGCACAUGAGGGAUGACAUUUAUUUCUUUCGCUUCGGAUUUUGCUGGCAAAGCUGACUGCUUUCUUUCGGCCUUGACUGGGACAUCCAGACAUCCAGUGGGAAACAUUUUUUUUUUCUUCCCUUUUGGAUUGUAAGCGUAUCCUUUCUCCUAACACUUCUGUUGCUCAUGUUCUUAUUUGGAGAAAGCUUUUCUUUUUUUUUUUUUUUCUGAGGCUAUGAGACAAAGGAAACAUUUGGCUGGAGCGAAGUGUUCUUAGAGCAGAAAGGAAGCAGAGUCUGAGGCACAGAACUUCAAACAUUUUUCCACUUGCAAAGCAGCACGUGGCCAGAAGGGAAAGACCACAUCCCAGCCCCACUGCAGCUGAUGGGAAACACGCCACCAACUUCCAUGGGAUGGGAGAGCCACCUGAGGAAUCUAAACUCACUGGCCUGCCCCCCAUAAUAAAGGCUACUGAUAAUGUGUUAUUAGUGUUGCUGUAGCAGCUCGCAGUCAAGGGGGAGGACGUCUUCUGUCCUUGCGGGCCAUGCAAGCCCAGAUCAAAGAGACGCUCCUUGCCCCACAGAUCUUGAAAUCAAAGUUUAUGGCUCACCCAAUGGCUUAUCAAGAAACCACAUGGGGAAGGCACCCCGGCCUUGCAGCUGUGCCCUACUACACUCCUAGCCAGGCACAGUAUUUGCAAAACAGACAUGUGUCUAUGCCUACCUGUGCCAGUCCAAAUGUAUAAUGCUAGAACAGAGCACCACAAGCACUCUGAAUUUAGCAGCAUGUUCAGAAGAGAAAAAAAGUGCUCGCCAAAAGUUGGAAAGAUAAAAAAAAAAAAAUCAAUAAUUUGGUGAUACAGCACCGGAUGAUUCAGCAUCAAGGGAAAUACCAUCAUUAUCUUUGGCAUCAGAACCUCUAAAUCUAAGCUGAGAUGCUGGAAAAAUAAAAGUUGUUGUAAUCAGAAUCACAAAAGAGAAAAGGCCUUUUAAACUUCAUUGAGAUGCAACUUGGCUGGAAAUAAAAAGAGCAGAACCCGAAAGAAAGAAAUUCAAAAGGGAAAAGCUUGAAGCAAAGUUCCUUCAAGCAUGGGUGGCCGGGGCCACGUGAGGAGAAAUACACAUGUAAACAGCUCUUCAUAAAGUCACAUACCUUACUCUUUUUCAAAGGUUUCAUCAGACUUUUUCUAUCAGGAGUGAUGGUUUCUCAGAGCAACAACAGGGCACUGUGAACACAGAGUUGAGGGGAGAUGGUCCCAGAACAAAAAAAAUGUCCUGAUCUGCAGACUUGAGAAGGACCGGCAUGGUCAAAUGAAAUCUUGAAGAGGACUGCCAUUUCCAGUCAGCAUCCCCAUCUCAUACCAAGGGAUUAGAAAUCACUCUGUAUCUUUUGUCUCAGUAAUUCAUUCAUUGAAUUUAGUAAUGAUGAACUCUCAGAGAGUAAUCCCAUUUCUCCUGGAGAAACAGGAUUCUCCUAGAGAAAUAGGAUUAAACAUAAUUCCCAGUAUGAAACCAUGGCUGCUUAGGUGGGUAAUGGCUCUGUACAUCAAAGGAGAAACAAGAAUCUCCUUACACAGGCAGUUCCCAGACUCUGGGGUGUUGCCUGCAUGCAGCCGUUCCUGGCAACAGCAGCAACAGCACUGGGUGCUGGGCAUAGAAAUUGUUCUAAUGUCUGGGCAAUGGACUUCAAUGACUUUCUCUCCUUUUCUUUUCCUCUUUUUCUCUUUCCUUUUUCUUUUUCCCUUUCCCUUUCCCUUUCCCCUUUUUCUCAUGGUGAAAAAGAGAUGGUGGGAGACCAAGGGUGGAUCCUGUCACUCAUUCCCAGAGUGUAAGAUGCAGCAGGUCAGUAGAAACAGUGCUGGUGUGAAGAGCAUUUGGGUUCUGUGCUCUCUGCAAGAUCUUUAGGACAAGGAGCAAAAUGUUUCCAGUCAGGUUGGCAACUGCAAGCAGGAAGACCAUGACAUGGGUCUGUUUAGGAAGGCUUCUGAGUUCAUGGAGUUUGCAGGCAAAUCUGACAUAGCCACCGGUUUCAUGGGGAAGAUGUGUGUACAAGAAACUAAAGUGUGGGAGUCGUGUCGCUGAGGGAAAGAAUGACUGCAGAGGGGCUUGCGGGAACAUCUGCAAAGCAUCUUCAUGACGAGUGGCACACACCCAUGCCUUCCACAGCUGAAGUUACCUCACAGUCAUUUUCUCCCAUCUGCUAUGAGCUUUAUCUCAAGUCUCUCAGGGGUCAGUGGAGAAUAUCAUAAUGACCUCUGAAUCAGGGUUGGUGUGCACCAGCCUCUGUGGAGCAUACAAUCAUCGAAUGGCUUGGGUUGGAAGGGACUCCAAGGAUCAUCAAGCUCCAACCCCCCCGCCACAUGCAGGGCCACCAACCUCCAUUUCUAAUAUUAGACCAGGCUGCCCAGGGCCUUGAACACCUCCAGGGAUGGGGCAUCCACAACCUCUCUAGGCAAAGCACAGGAACUCUGAUUCGUGAUAAAUAAGAUGCAAUCUUUUUGUCUUUCCCCACUUCAUCCUGUGUAAUUCCUUCUCCCUUACUGUGGGACAAGUUGAUUUAAUUACACCAUCCUGGGGACAUCAACCUUUUCCAUUCCCAAGGUGGGCUCUUGGUAAUGUAAGUGCAGCUACACAGGGUCAGACUUAAGGAUUAUCUGCCUGGUAACCUCCAGAAUGACGAGGAGCAGAUGCUUAGACAUGUCAGAUGUGGUACCUCCUCCGCUUUUCUGUGUGUGGGAUCUUCCUGAGCAAUCCUGAAGCACCAUUUUUACUACCACAAAUACAGUCAGGUAUGACUUCAAUAAGCCCAUGUAAACUUCCAUCACAAUAAUUUGCUAAUGAAUUCUGUAAAUGUAUUUACUUUAUAUAUGUAUACAUAUAUAUAUAUAUAAAGCAUAUAUAUACUCCCUCCCCUUGCCUUGAAAAUGCAUCUAAAAGAUUGUAUCAGAGGAGCAUUUCUUCAGCUGUUCAAGUCUGCCCAUGCAAUGGCACCUCUGCCUCAUUCCCUCCCAUAUCUCCCUGCCUGUCUUUUACUUGGUGGUUCUGAUUUAUGAAGCAGCUCUGGGGUUGCUUCUUUCAGAUCAUACAGCUUACAGCACCGUGAAGGUCAGACAACGACAGGAGCCAUAAAGCUGACCACAAAGGUUCUGCACUGUCGGUGCUGGGAGCCUGCAGCACCUGCAGAGUCUGUCUCUUCCACAGCAACCCCUCCAAUUGGCUGCUGGGCUCCUGUUUCUUAACAGCAAAAUCAGCAGCCCCCAGCUGCUAGCAGAUGACUCAAAUUUUUGGG